UCCUCCCUCUGUCUGUCUCUGGGUUGGUGGCUGGUCUCUCCAUCUCUCUGAUCAUUCUACUGGUCCUGUUCUGCAAGAGGAACAAAGAUGUAGCAGCUGAACCCAGAGAUGUUACGUAUGCUGACGUUAGAAUCAUACAGGAACCAGAACCCAGGAGAAGGAGAGAGAAGUCUCCAGGAGCUGAUCCAGUCUACUCUGCAGUGAAGACCUCCAACACCACAGUUCCAGGUGGAUCCGGUCCAGGUGAUGUGACCUAUGCUGACAUCAACCACACUGAUAAGAGACAACACAACAGGAGGAGAGAGAAGGUCGUUCCAGACCCUGUCUACUCAGCAGUGAAGACAGACAGAGAUUCAGGUCAGAAGGUUGUUCCAGACCCUGUCUACUCAGCAGUGAAGACAGACAGAGAGACAGGUCAGAAGGUCGCUCCAGACCCUGUCUACUCGGCAGUGAAGACAGACAGACAG